rnacentral:rRNA from 1 species
GAAAGGCCAAUCAAACCGGGAGAUAGCUGGUUCUCCCCGAAAGCUAUUUAGGUAGCGCCUCGUGAAUUCAUCUCCGGGGGUAGAGCACUGUUUCGGCAAGGGGGUCAUCCCGACUUACCAACCCGAUGCAAACUGCGAAUACCGGAGAAUGUUAUCACGGGAGACACACGGCGGGUGCUAACGUCCGUCGUGAAGAGGGAAACAACCCAGACCGCCAGCUAAGGUCCCAAAGUCAUGGUUAAGUGGGAAACGAUGUGGGAAGGCCCAGACAGCCAGGAUGUUGGCUUAGAAGCAGCCAUCAUUUAAAGAAAGCGUAAUAGCUCACUGGUCGAGUCGGCCUGCGCGGAAGAUGUAACGGGGCUAAACCAUGCACCGAAGCUGCGGCAGCGACGCUGAUGCGUUGUUGGGUAGGGGAGCGUUCUGUAAGCCUGCGAAGGUGUGCUGUGAGGCAUGCUGGAGGUAUCAGAAGUGCGAAUGCUGACAUAAGUAACGAUAAAGCGGGUGAAAAGCCCGCUCGCCGGAAGACCAAGGGUUCCUGUCCAACGUUAAUCGGGGCAGGGUGAGUCGACCCCUAAGGCGAGGCCGAAAGGCGUAGUCGAUGGGAAACAGGUUAAUAUUCCUGUACUUGGUGUUACUGCGAAGGGGGGACGGAGAAGGCUAUGUUGGCCGGGCGACGGUUGUCCCGGUUUAAGCGUGUAGGCUGGUUUUCCAGGCAAAUCCGGAAAACUAAGGCUGAGGCGUGAUGACGAGGCACUACGGUGCUGAAGCAACAAAUGCCCUGCUUCCAGGAAAAGCCUCUAAGCAUCAGGUAACAUCAAAUCGUACCCCAAACCGACACAGGUGGUCAGGUAGAGAAUACCAAGGCGCUUGAGAGAACUCGGGUGAAGGAACUAGGCAAAAUGGUGCCGUAACUUCGGGAGAAGGCACGCUGAUAUGUAGGUGAAGUCCCUCGCGGAUGGAGCUGAAAUCAGUCGAAGAUACCAGCUGGCUGCAACUGUUUAUUAAAAACACAGCACUGUGCAAACACGAAAGUGGACGUAUACGGUGUGACGCCUGCCCGGUGCCGGAAGGUUAAUUGAUGGGGUCAGCGCAAGCGAAGCUCUUGAUCGAAGCCCCGGUAAACGGCGGCCGUAACUAUAACGGUCCUAAGGUAGCGAAAUUCCUUGUCGGGUAAGUUCCGACCUGCACGAAUGGCGUAAUGAUGGCCAGGCUGUCUCCACCCGAGACUCAGUGAAAUUGAACUCGCUGUGAAGAUGCAGUGUACCCGCGGCAAGACGGAAAGACCCCGUGAACCUUUACUAUAGCUUGACACUGAACAUUGAGCCUUGAUGUGUAGGAUAGGUGGGAGGCUUUGAAGUGUGGACGCCAGUCUGCAUGGAGCCGGCCUUGAAAUACCACCCUUUAAUGUUUGAUGUUCUAACGUGGACCCGUGAUCCGGGUUGCGGACAGUGUCUGGUGGGUAGUUUGACUGGGGCGGUCUCCUCCUAAAGAGUAACGGAGGAGCACGAAGGUUGGCUAAUCCUGGUCGGACAUCAGGAGGUUAGUGCAAUGGCAUAAGCCAGCUUGACUGCGAGCGUGACGGCGCGAGCAGGUGCGAAAGCAGGUCAUAGUGAUCCGGUGGUUCUGAAUGGAAGGGCCAUCGCUCAACGGAUAAAAGGUACUCCGGGGAUAACAGGCUGAUACCGCCCAAGAGUUCAUAUCGACGGCGGUGUUUGGCACCUCGAUGUCGGCUCAUCACAUCCUGGGGCUGAAGUAGGUCCCAAGGGUAUGGCUGUUCGCCAUUUAAAGUGGUACGCGAGCUGGGUUUAGAACGUCGUGAGACAGUUCGGUCCCUAUCUGCCGUGGGCGCUGGAGAACUGAGGGGGGCUGCUCCUAGUACGAGAGGACCGGAGUGGACGCAUCACUGGUGUUCGGGUUGUCAUGCCAAUGGCACUGCCCGGUAGCUAAAUGCGGAAGAGAUAAGUGCUGAAAGCAUCUAAGCACGAAACUUGCCCCGAGAUGAGUUCUCCCUGACUCCUUGAGAGUCCUGAAGGAACGUUGAAGACGACGACGUUGAUAGGCCGGGUGUGUAAGCGCAGCGAUGCGUUGAGCUAACCGGUACUAAUGAACCGUGAGGCUUAACCUUACAACGCCGAAGGUGUUU